UACGUAGACAGCAAGCGUUGUUCGGAAUUACUGGGCGUAAAGAGUGUGUAGGCGGUGUUCUAAGUCUGUCGUGAAAUCUCCCGGCUUAACUGGGAGGGUGCGGCGGAAACUGGAGUGCUAGAGGGUGGGAGAGGAAAGCGGAAUUCCUGGUGUAGCGGUGAAAUGCGUAGAUAUCAGGAGGAACACCUGCGGUGUAGACAGCUUUCUGGACCACUUCUGACGCUGAGACACGAAAGCGUGGGUAGCAAACAGG
rnacentral:rRNA from 1 species